GUGCCAGCAGGCCGCGGUAAUACGUAGGGUGCGAGCGUUAAUCGGAAUUACUGGGCGUAAAGCGUGCGCAGGCGGUUUUGUAAGACAGAUGUGAAAUCCCCGGGCUUAACCUGGGAACUGCGUUUGUGACUGCAAGGCUAGAGUACGGCAGAGGGGGGUGGAAUUCCUGGUGUAGCAGUGAAAUGCGUAGAUAUCAGGAGGAACACCGAUGGCGAAGGCAGCCCCCUGGGCCUGUACUGACGCUCAUGCACGAAAGCGUGGGGAGCAAACAGGAUUAGAUACCCUGGUAGUCCACGCCCUAAACGAUGUCGACUAGUCGUUCGGAGCAGCAAUGCACUGAGUGACGCAGCUAACGCGUGAAGUCGACCGCCUGGGGAGUACGGCCGCAAGGUUAAAACUCAAAGGAAUUGACGGGGACCCGCACAAGCGGUGGAGCAUGUGGUUUAAUUCGAAGAUACGCGAAGAACCUUACCUGGACUUGACAUUGAAAGAAUCCUGUAGAGAUACGGGAGUGCUAGCUUGCUAGAGCUUGAAAACAGGUGCUGCACGGCUGUCGUCAGCUCGUGUCGUGAGAUGUUGGGUUAAGUCCCGCAACGAGCGCAACCCACGUCGUUAGUUGCU
rnacentral:rRNA from 1 species